rnacentral:rRNA from 1 species
UACGGAGGUGGCGAGCGUUGUUCGGAUUUAUUGGGUGUAAAGGGUUUGUAGGUGUCCUGCUAAGUCUUUCUUUAAAUCCUAUGGCUCAACCAUAGAUAAGGGGAAGAAACUGACGGGAUUGAGUAUUGGAGAGGGAGGCGGAAUUCCCGGUGUAAGGGUGAAAUCUGUAGAUAUCGGGAGGAACACCAGUGGCGAAAGCGGCCUCCUGGCCAAAUACUGACACUGAAAAACGAAAGCAAGGGGAGCAAACAGG